rnacentral:rRNA from 1 species
GUGGGGAAUAUUGGGCAAUGGGCGAAAGCCUGACCCAGCAACGCCGCGUGAAGGAAGAAGGCCUUCGGGUUGUAAACUUCUUUUAUGAGGGACGAAGGAAGUGACUGUACCUCAUGAAUAAGCCACGGCUAACUACGUGCCAGCAGCCGCGGUAAUACGUAGGUGGCAAGCGUUGUCCGGAUUUACUGGGUGUAAAGGGCGCGUAGGCGGACUGGCAGGUCAGAUGUGAAAUCCAUGAGCUCAACUCAUGAACUGCAUUUGAAACUGUUGGUCUUGAGUAUCGGAGAGGCAAGCGGAAUUCCUAGUGUAGCGGUGAAAUGCGUAGAUAUUAGGAGGAACACCAGUGGCGAAGGCGGCUUGCUGGACGACAACUGACGCUGAGGCGCGAAAGCGUGGGGAGCAAACAGGAUUAGAUACCCGAGUAGUCC